rnacentral:rRNA from 1 species
GACAGAGGGUGCAAACGUUUGUUCGGAAUUACUGGGCGUAAAGCGUGUGUAGGCGGCUUUGCAAGUCGGAUGUGAAAGCCCCGGGCUCAACCCGGGAAGUGCACUCGAUACUGCAGAGCUUGAGUAUCGGAGAGGUUGGUGGAAUUCUCGGUGUAGAGGUGAAAUUCGUAGAUAUCGAGAGGAACACCGGUGGCGAAGGCGGCCAACUGGACGAAUACUGACGCUGAGACACGAAAGCGUGGGGGAGCAAACAGGG